GACAGAGGUGCCAAGCGUUAGGCGGAAUCACUGGGCUUAAAGCGUGUGUAGGCGGAUCGUUAAGUACCUUGUGAAAUCCCACGGCUCAACCGUGGAACUGCUGGGUAUACUGGCGAUCUUGAGCCACCUAGGGGCGAGCGGAACAAGCGGUGGAGCGGUGAAAUGCGUAGAUAUCGCUUGGAACGCCAAUGGUGAAAACAGCUCGCUGGGGGUGUGCUGACGCUGAGACACGAAAGCCAGGGGAGCAAACGGG
rnacentral:rRNA from 1 species